rnacentral:rRNA from 1 species
GCACAGAGUUAGCCGGUGCUUCCUUUGAGGGUACCGUCACUUCCCGGGGCUGUUAACCCCAGGAAUAUUCGUUCCCUCCGACAGAGCUUUACGACCCGAAGGCCUUCAUCCCCCACGCGGCGUCGCUGCGUCAGGCUUUCGCCCAUUGCGCAAUAUUCCUUACUGCUGCCUCCCGUAGGAGUCUGGCCCGUGUCGCAGUGCCAGUGUGGCUGAUCGUCCUCUCAGACCAGCUACCCGUCGUAGCCUUGGUGAGCCGUUACCUCACCAACAAGCUGAUAGGACAUGAGCCCAUCCAAGAGCGCGAUACCCACGGUAUCGCUUUCCUCCCUGAACCGAAGUCCAAGAAGCGUACGCGGUAUUAGCUAACCUUUCGGCUAGUUAUUCCCCACUCGAGGGUAGGUUACCCAUGUAUUCCCCACCCGUUCGCCGCUUUACAAACGUAUUGCUACGUCUUCUCGCUCGACUUGCAUGUAUUAGGCGCGCCGCCAGCGUUCGUU